GGAGAAUCUUGACCUCUAAAGAUAAGUCUUCAGAACUUGGAAGAGCUGUUAUCACAGAGUGAAGAAAUUCCAGUGACUCUUUGGCCUAUUGUGAUGUCAUAUGGUUAAUUCUGCAAAGGUAUCUCUCUGAAGUCUGUGAAAUCAAGUCUCUAUUAAUGAUUAGAUCCCCCAUCUGAUCCUAAGAUGUUAGAACAACCUCCUCUGGCCUUUUCUAUCAUUGCUGCUGAGAACUGAGAAUUUUCACUGGUUGCCUGAAAGCUUUCACCAUUUCCAUUCCCUGCUUCACAAAGCCUGAAAACCAGUAUUAAGAACUUAAGCGUUUUAUAUACAGUAUCAGCAUCUGAAAAUGGAAUUAUUAACCAUUCUUUGUAUCAUCAGAAUUUUUUAGUCACUGGGAGACUCAAUGCCAAAUCAUCCGAGGCCACCUCCUUUGAAAUCCUUGUCUUUGCAAAGAACAACAGCAAAACUGAUU